AGAGUUUGAUCCUGGCUCAGGAUGAACGCUCUUGGCGUGCCUAACACAUGCAAGUCGAACGAAGCGCUUAAGACGGACCCUUCGGGGGAAGAUUUAAGUGACUGAGUGGCGGACGGGUGAGUAACGCGUGGGCAACCUGCCCUGUACAGGGGGAUAACAGUUGGAAACGGCUGCUAAUACCGCAUAAGCGCACAGUGGGACAUCCCACGGUGUGAAAAACUCCGGUGGUACAGGAUGGGCCCGCGUCUGAUUAGCUAGUUGGCAGGGUAACGGCCUACCAAGGCAACGAUCAGUAGCCGGUCUGAGAGGAUGAACGGCCACAUUGGAACUGAGACACGGUCCAAACUCCUACGGGAGGCAGCAGUGGGGAAUAUUGCACAAUGGGGGAAACCCUGAUGCAGCAACGCCGCGUGAGUGAAGAAGUAUUUCGGUAUGUAAAGCUCUAUCAGCAGGGAAGAUAAUGACGGUACCUGACUAAGAAGCUCCGGCUAAAUACGUGCCAGCAGCCGCGGUAAUACGUAUGGAGCAAGCGUUAUCCGGAUUUACUGGGUGUAAAGGGUGCGUAGGCGGCAAGGCAAGUCAGAUGUGAAAGACCGGGGCUCAACUCCGGGGCUGCAUUUGAAACUGUUUUGCUGGAGUCCAGGAGAGGCAGGCGGAAUUCCUAGUGUAGCGGUGAAAUGCGUAGAUAUUAGGAGGAACACCAGUGGCGAAGGCGGCCUGCUGGACUGGUACUGACGCUGAGGCACGAAAGCGUGGGGAGCAAACAGGAUUAGAUACCCUGGUAGUCCACGCCGUAAACGA
rnacentral:rRNA from 1 species